rnacentral:lncRNA from 1 species
AGGGCUGCUGUGGUUUGCUGGAGGUUCAUUUCAGGCCCUAUUCAUCAGGAGCGCUCCUGCACUUGGAGAUGUCACUCAAGGAGGCUGGAGAACAGCAAAGGCUCGUGUUUUGCAGGAGAUGAACUAACCGUGUGGAUGCCCUCAAAAUGUGUACAACCAUGGAACAGGAGACUGGAGGGACCCAUGGAUCCCAACCAUGGACUGGGUUCCCCUUGUAUGAGCCAUGAUCCAGUUGAAUCUGAAUGCGAAGAUGGAACGAAGACCAACCAGAGUCAUCAUGCUUAAUGGACCAAUGCUUUCUGACUCAGCUCCUCUCUACCCUGAAUACAAGAGACGCUAAUAGUUAGGCAGCAGUAUCAUCGCCCCUAUUCAGCAUGAAGAAGUUACAGAAGACGGACCUUCACUCUUCUGCAACCCCUAGGAUUCAGGGUCCUCUUAUAAAAGAGAAAGGGGAGAUAUGUGGGAAGCAUUCAAACCAGAGAGACUCCAGUUUGAAUAAGGGCUAAGAAAAGUGAAGCUGGAUCACCAACCAGCAAUUAAGGGCUGCACAGCCUGCAAUCGCCUUGCUCAAUUAAAAGAGGUCACCUCUCAUGCUAGUAAUAAUGUUACCUUCUCUUUUACAAAAAAGAGAAGUGGGGCAUGUUGGGAAAAAGCUGAGUGUUGGGAGGGAAACCAAGGCAGGGCUUGCAUAAUAUCCUCUGGAAUGUGACUAGACUUGCUGACUCCUUGCUUCUAGCCCUCCUAGGCUCCUAUUCCCAUUAUCUCAAGCAGCAGAACAUGUUCCUUAUAAAUGCUAAACCAUCACAGCUGUAGACCAUGCACCUGCCCUUUUGACCUCCCCAUUCUCAUCACCUGUUUCUCUGUUGGAUUACCAAUAAAUAGCAUGGGCUC